ACGGAAGGCAGCAGUGGGGGAUAUUGCACAACGGGCGAAAGCCUGAUGCAGCAACGCCGCGUGAGGGAAGACGGUUUUCGGAUUGUAAACCUCUGUCUUUGGUGAAAAAAAUGACGGUAGCCAAGGAGGAAGCCACGGCUAACUACGUGCCAGCAGCCGCGGUAAUACGUAGGUGGCAAGCGUUGUCCGGAAUUACUGGGUGUAAAGGGAGCGCAGGCGGGACUGCAAGUUGGAUGUGAAAUACCGCAGCUUGACUGCGGAGCUGCAUCCAAAACUGUAGUUCUUGAGUGGAGUAGAGGUAGGCGGAAUUCCGAGUGUAGCGGUGAAAUGCGUAGAUAUUCGGAGGAACACCAGUGGCGAAGGCGGCCUACUGGGCUCUUACUGACGCUGAGGCUCGAAAGUGUGGGGAGCAAACAGGAUUAGAUACCCUGGUA
rnacentral:rRNA from 1 species